AGAGUUUGAUCCUGGCUCAGGAUGAACGCUAGCGGCAGGCCUAACACAUGCAAGUCGAGGGGCAUCGGGAUUGAAGCUUGCUUCAAUUGCCGGCGACCGGCGCACGGGUGCGUAACGCGUAUGUAACCUACCUAUAACAGGGGCAUAACACUGAGAAAUUGGUACUAAUUCCCCAUAAUAUUCGGAGAGGCAUCUCUCCGGGUUGAAAACUCCGGUGGUUAUAGAUGGACAUGCGUUGUAUUAGCUAGUUGGUGAGGUAACGGCUCACCAAGGCAACGAUACAUAGGGGGACUGAGAGGUUAACCCCCCACACUGGUACUGAGACACGGACCAGACUCCUACGGGAGGCAGCAGUGAGGAAUAUUGGUCAAUGGACGCAAGUCUGAACCAGCCAUGCCGCGUGCAGGAAGACGGCUCUAUGAGUUGUAAACUGCUUUUGUACGAGGGUAAACGCAGAUACGUGUAUGUGCCUGAAAGUAUCGUACGAAUAAGGAUCGGCUAACUCCGUGCCAGCAGCCGCGGUAAUACGGAGGAUCCAAGCGUUAUCCGGAUUUAUUGGGUUUAAAGGGUGCGUAGGCGGUUUGAUAAGUUAGAGGUGAAAUCCCGGGGCUUAACUCCGGAACUGCCUCUAAUACUGUUAGACUAGAGAGUAGUUGCGGUAGGCGGAAUGUAUGGUGUAGCGGUGAAAUGCUUAGAGAUCAUACAGAACACCGAUUGCGAAGGCAGCUUACCAAACUAUAUCUGACGUUGAGGCACGAAAGCGUGGGGAGCAAACAGGAUUAGAUACCCUGGUAGUCCACGCAGUAAACGAUGAUAACUCGUUGUCGGCGAUACACAGUCGGUGACUAAGCGAAAGCGAUAAGUUAUCCACCUGGGGAGUACGUUCGCAAGAAUGAAACUCAAAGGAAUUGACGGGGGCCCGCACAAGCGGAGGAACAUGUG
rnacentral:rRNA from 1 species